UAUCAUGCCUCAUGUGGACCUUCUCUAUGCCAAACUCCAGAAGAAGGUCAUAGAUUCAGUCUAUAUCCAGGAGAGCAUCCAACAGUUCCAGCAGGACAUUCAAAAGAUCAGAAAUUCUCUCCACUCCAUGGUUGGACAAAGCAGUGUAGGUAGUGGUUAGCCAGUGAAGAAGCGUCGGACACUCGGUGUAGAAGACCAUGAAAGGAUUGCUGCAGAGGUCUGUGAUAUCAUACUGGGACACACCAGGGAGCGCUUUUCUUUCACAAACCACCUUGUUAGUGCCACMCUCCUGCAGGGGGACAGAUUUGAACAAUACAACACAGCAUUUCCUGAAGAUGCACUGAGCAACACCUUAAAAGCCUAUCCAGUGCUCARUCGAGGUAAACUGAAGACAGAGCUUACUCUCAUCUACAGCAAGGAAGAGUUCAAAGCCUGUUGUGGUGCUGUGGGCCUACUCCAGCUGUUUAUGGAAAACAAUCUAGAAGAAGUAUUUUUGGAAACUGUCACGCUCUUGAAGAUCCUCAUCACCACACCCAUGACCACAGCAGAAGCUGAAAGGUGCUUUUCAACUCUGAAAAGAAUCAAGACUUUUCUGAGAAACUCAGGACAGGCUGAAUGCAUUGGCCAUGUUGUCAAUGGAGAAAAGACUGGUCAAAGAGAUGACUGACUUUAACAAGAAUGUAAUUGAGAAAUUUGCAGGGCAGAAGGAAAGGAGGGCAAAAUUCAU